rnacentral:misc_RNA from 1 species
UGCAAUCAAGGGUCAAAAAGACCAAGUCUAAAGGUAUAAAACUACAAAUGCCAUUGUAUGGCCAUUUUUUCAACAUAAUGUACACUUGAAGAACACUCUGUGACUCCUCAUUUCCAUACAAAGACUUAUUUCUGAAGAAUGAUAGCAUGAGAACACAAGACACUUCAGAUUUUGUCGUACCGACCCAAAGCAAGAUCAAUAGAAGUGCUUGAGGCAUUUCAUCAAUGCCUCGGUGUGCUCGGGCUUGCCUACAGAGACACGGACAUAUCCCUUCAACUCCUUGCUGUUGUAGUGACGGAUCAUCACUCCCAUAGUCGCAAGGUCUUCCUUCAAUUUCUUAGCAUCCAUUCCAGACGUAACUUUACAGAGAAUGAAAUUAGAAUAGCUAGGGUAUGGAUCAAGAAACGGGACUUCUUUCAAG